UUUCGCUUAAGACAGUUUUACUUGGAUUUGGGUUUAGGAGCAGGAUGACAAGAAGGCCCCUGACUCUGCUGCUAAAGUCAAAGGCGAAUCAGCCAAGAAGGGAUAUGUUGGAAUUCACAUCUCAGGAUUCAGAGAUAUCCUUUUAAAGCCGGAGCUUGUACGCCCGAUUGUGGACUCAAUAUUUGAGCAUCCUUUUGAAGGUAUACUAUUGAAUUCAAUCUUCCCCGGCGACGGUAUGGCCCCGAGAUUGCCGAGUCCGUCAAACAGGUCCCUUUUUUAUCCUUAUUCACUAUAUGCUCUUCAAUUUCCCUUUACGACUGGUUUAUUUUGCAUCGGAGUUGUGGAUGAUUGUAUGUUUGUGUACGCAUCUGUGUAUAGUUAGCUAUAUACACUCACUCGCACUCAAUGAAACUCUGUAAGGUAAGGGUGAUGCCCAUUACUUAUAAAGAUUAGAUACAGAAAGCCAGAACUGUUACUAUCUCUAAACUGUUGGUACUCUUUUGAAUCUUUUUAGAACUGCAUUUCUCAUUGUAGUCACUGAAGUGUUAUACUCUUGCAUGCUUAUUGAAUGUAAUGCUUGUUGCAAGAGUUGCUUCAAUUUUAAAUCAAUGUUUGACGCCAAAUUCCAAAUUUCAAACCCCUUGAAUCAUUUUUUCAGCUUUUGUUUUUGUUUUGGGUUUUUUCUCUGCUAACUUUGACUGUCAACAGUGGGAUUUUGUUUGUUUUGGGUUUAUGGGUUUUGUUGGGUUGCUUUUGUUAUGAGCAAUGGGGGACUCAGGUGGAAAAGUGAGGUUGGUUCAGUGCCCAAAGUGUGAGAAUCUUCUUCCUGAGCUAGCUGAUUACUCUAUGUAUCAGUGUGGUGCUGUUCUUAGAGUACAAGGAUUACAGAUUGUGACUGGGAUUACAGAUGGAUGGAGUACCCAGCUCAUGCAAGAACUUCGAGAAAUCCCUUGGAUCAGUCGUUGGCUACAUAUGGAGACCAUUCAGUCAUGCGCACUUUAAUUUGCUGUUAGUUUUCUCCAGCAUAUAGGUUAAGAUAUGGAAUAUUCAGGAAAAGAAAUGUACUGCAGUUCUGAUGGGGCACACUUAGUAUGAAAUCUUUGAGUUUGGCGUACCCAUGCAACUCUUUAUCUUGACUGAAAAUGUGACUAAUCUUUUAACUUGUUCAUAUGUUUCUACGCUAGCAUUUUUAGGUUUGCAGUUUUAUUUUGUGAAUUAUGUUGGAUCAUGAAUUUGGACAUAAUUAAUGGAAUGCCUCAAUUUUUAGAUGA